GUGCUGGCUUUGGCACCACGUACACUAAAAUUGGAAUGAUACAGAGAAGAUUAGCAUGGCCCCUGCACAAGGAUGACAUGCAAAUUCGUGAAGUGUUCCAUAUUUUU
ensembl:snRNA U6 U6 spliceosomal RNA